AUUUUCCACAAUGGGCGAAAGCCUGAUGGAGCAACGCCGCGUGCAGGAUUAAGGCCCUUGGGUUGUAAACUGCUUUUAUAAGUGACGAUUAUGACGGUAACUUAUGAAUAAGGACCGGCUAACUCCGUGCCAGCAGCCGCGGUCAUACGGAGGGUCCAAGCGUUAUCCGGAAUUACUGGGCGUAAAGAGCUCGUAGGCGGUUCAGUAAGUCGGGUGUGAAAACUCUGGGCUCAACCCAGAGACGCCACCCGAUACUGCUGUGACUUGAGUACGGUAGGGGAGCGGGGAAUUCCUGGUGUAGCGGUGAAAUGCGCAGAUAUCAGGAGGAACACCAGUGGCGAAGGCGCCGCUCUGGGCCGAAACUGACGCUGAGGAGCGAAAGCGUGGGUAGC
rnacentral:rRNA from 1 species